rnacentral:rRNA from 1 species
UGAGAAAAGGGUCCAGGCCCUACGGGGCGCAGCAGGCGCGAAAACUUUGCAAUGUACGAAAGUACGACAAGGUUAAUCCGAGUGCAACAUGCUGAAUGUAGCUUUUGGUAAAUGUAAAUAGUUUAUUGAAUAAGGGGAGGGAAAGUCUGGUGUCAGCCGCCGCGGUAAUACCAGCUCCCCGAGUGGUCGGGACGAUUAUUGGGCCUAAAGCAUCCGUAGCCUGUUCUGUAGGUCUUAUGUUAAAACCAAUUGCUUAACAAUUGGACUGCAUGAGAUACCACAAAACUAGGAGGCGGGAGAGGUGGACGGUACUCCACGGGUAGGGGUAAAAUCCUCUGAACCGUGGAAGACCACCAGUGGCGAAGGCGGUCCACCAGAACGCGCUCGACGGUGAGGGAUGAAAGCUGGGGUAGCGAACCGGAUUAGAUACCCGGGUAGUCCCAGCUGUAAACGAUGCAAGCUAGGUGAUGCAUUAGCCACGUGUUAAUGCAGUGCCGCAGGGAAGCCGUUAAGCUUGCCGCCUGGGGAGUACGGUCGCAAGGCUGAAACUUAAAGGAAUUGGCGGGGGAGCACCACAAGGGGUGAAGCCUGCGGUUCAAUUGGAGUCAACGCCGGGAACCUUACCAGGAGAGACAGCAGGGUGAAGGUCAAGCUGAAGACUUUACCAGACAAGCUGAGAGGAGGCGCAUGGCCGUCGACAGCUCGUGCCGUGAGGCGUCCUGUUAAGUCAGGCAACGAGCGAGACCCUUAUCAUUAAUUGCUACCAUCGAUCGCAAGGUUGGCGGAGCUAAUUAACGGGACUGCCGUCGAUAAGACGGAGGAAGGAAGGGGCCACGGCAGGUCAGUAUGCCCCGAAACUCUUGGGCCACACGCGGGCUGCAAUGGUAGGCACAAUAGGUACCGAAUUCGAGAGAAUGAGGCAAUCCCAAAAUCCUACCCCAGUUGUGAUUGAGGGCUGCAACUCGCCCUCAUGAAUCUGGAAUCCCUAGUAAUCGCGUGUCAACAUCGCGCGGUGAAUACGUCCCUGCUCCUUGCACACACCGCCCGUCGCUUCACCCGAGUUGGGUUUGGGGGAGGUAGUAUCUCUUUGAUAUUAUCGAACCUAGGUUCGACAAGGGGGGAGAAGUCGUAACAAGGUGGCCGUAGGGGAACCUGCGGCCG